CACGUAGGCGGACUUUUAAGUCAGGGGUGAAAUCCCGGGGCUCAACCCCGGAACUGCCUUUGAUACUGGAAGUCUUGAGUAUGGUAGAGGUGAGUGGAAUUCCGAGUGUAGAGGUGAAAUUCGUAGAUAUUCGGAGGAACACCAGUGGCGAAGGCGGCUCACUGGACCAUUACUGACGCUGAGGUGCGAAAGCGUGGGGAGCAACA
rnacentral:rRNA from 1 species